AACGAACGCUGGCGGCAUGCCUAACACAUGCAAGUCGAACGAGACCUUCGGGUCUAGUGGCGCACGGGUGCGUCACGCGUGGGAACCUGCCCUUAGGUUCGGAAUACCUCCCCGAAAGGGGUGCUAAUACCGGAUAAUGUCUUCGGACCAAUGAUUUAUCGCCUUUGGAUGGGCCCGCGUUGGAUUAGCUCGUUGGUAGGGUAAAAGCCUACCAAGGCGACGAUCCAUAGCUGGUCUGAGAGGAUGAUCAGCCACACUGGGACUGAGACACGGCCCAGACUCCUACGGGAGGCAGCAGUGGGGAAUAUUGGACAAUGGGCGAAAGCCUGAUCCAGCAAUGCCGCGUGAGUGAUGAAGGCCUUAGGGUUGUAAAGCUCUUUUACCCGGGAUGAUAAUGACAGUACCGGGAGAAUAAGCUCCGGCUAACUCCGUG
rnacentral:rRNA from 1 species